rnacentral:rRNA from 1 species
UACGUAGGAGGCGAGCGUUAUCCGGAAUUAUUGGGCGUAAAGAGCGCGCGGGCGGCCGGGUAAGUCAGAUGUGAAAUCUCCUGGCUUAACUAGGAGGCGACAUUUGAGACUGCCUGGCUUGAGGACAGCAGAGGGAGAUGGAAUUCCCGGUGUAGUAGUGAAAUACGUAGAUAUCGGGAGGAACACCUGUGGCGAAGGCGGUCUUCUGGGCUGUUUCUGACGCUGAGGCGCGAAAGCGUGGGGAGCAAAC